CCUACGGGUGGCAGCAGUGGGGAAUAGUGCGCAAUGGGCGAAAGCCUGACGCAGCGACGCCGCGUGAGGGAUGAAGGUUUUCCGAUCGUAAAACUCUGUCAGCAGGGAAGAACGGUCACUGUGCUAAUCAGCAGUGAAUUGAUUGUACCUGCAAUGUAAGCACCGGCUAACUCCGUGCCAGCAGCCGCGGUAAUACGUAGGGUGCGAGCGUUAAUCGGAAUUACUGGUCGUAAAGCGCUCGUAGGCGGUAUGUCAAGUCAAGGGUAAAAUCCCCGCGCUGAACGUGCGAACUGCUUUUGAUACUGGGAAACUGGAGUGUGUGAGAGGAUAGUGGAAUUCCAGGUGUAGGAGUGA
rnacentral:rRNA from 1 species